GAAAAUAAUAUCAGAAAUUUCAUGUUAAAACCUUGGUCUGCUUAAUUAUAAAUAAAUACCAGCGUCGUACAACUUCAAUAUUCAUUGAAAAUGUGCACCCUACUUCACGAAGUGUUAAACCAGCUUGCUCCAGAAUUUCGAUACAUUUCUAAAACAUAUUGCCGAGGUUUAUCCCCCAAAAUUCCAACGUUAUGUAAGUGCGCGACAUUUUGUAGAAAAGACACCUUCAGUCGUAAAAACAAAAUGAACACUUUAGUUUCACUUUCUGUCACAGUAUACCUCAUUUUACCCCGGGAAUUUUCUCUGAAAGACAUCUCUGCAGAAAGUAUUUGUGGCAUGACGUCAGCAGCUGGGGAGCUGACCGGAACUUGGGGCUGACCGGAAGGGGCAGCAGUGACACGCGCGCAGCAAGGGCAGCAUUCUGCUUUUUUUGAGGCAGGUCGCUGAGCGGGUAAGACGGGAUCAGCACGUUGUUAAGGUUGGGAGAAGCAGCUGCUAUAUCUAGCGUUGAAGGGUCUCCAUCUGAGCAAAGAGAAGAACCGUCAACACUGUUGAGAGAAAGGUAUCAUCAAACUGAAGGCUGGUGUGAAUGCUUGCAACAGAGUGAACUUUGCUGGAAGUUCCAAAGGGCCAAGUGGUGGUGUUAAACUGAGUUAUAGAUUAAAUCUACUAUCCAUGUAAGCCACAGCAGGAUCUGAACUAAGAAUGCAGGGCCAGAACAAAUCCCACAAGACAUCUUGUUCAACAUUAAUGAUUUCACUAGUCCACCACACUAGCCCAGAAGGAUGAAAGCCAAAGUUAACCGUAGCAGGAUUUUAACUCAGAACGCAGACAACUGAAAUAAACACUGCAAGAUAUUUCUAUUCCAGAAUAAAAUACAUUAAAAAAAUU